rnacentral:rRNA from 1 species
ACGCUGGCGGCGUGCUUAACACAUGCAAGUCGAGCGGUAAGGCCCUUUCGGGGGUACACGAGCGGCGAACGGGUGAGUAACACGUGAGCAAUCUGCCCCUGUCUCUGGGAUAACCACUGGAAACGGUGGCUAAUACCGGAUAUGACCUCCUUCUGCAUGGUUGGUGGUGGAAAAGUCCGCUGGACAGGGAUGAGCUCGCGGCCUAUCAGCUUGUUGGUGGGGUAAUGGCCUACCAAGGCGACGACGGGUAGCCGGCCUGAGAGGGUGACCGGCCACACUGGGACUGAGACACGGCCCAGACUCCUACGGGAGGCAGCAGUGGGGAAUAUUGGACAAUGGGCGAAAGCCUGAUCCAGCAACGCCGCGUGAGGGAUGACGGCCUUCGGGUUGUAAACCUCUUUCAGCAGGGACGAAGCGAAAGUGACGGUACCUGCAGAAGAAGGACCGGCCAACUACGUGCCAGCAGCCGCGGUAAUACGUAGGGUCCGAGCGUUGUCCGGAAUUAUUGGGCGUAAAGGGCUCGUAGGCGGUUUGUCACGUCGGGAGUGAAAACUCAGGGCUUAACCCUGAGCGUGCUUCCGAUACGGGCUGACUAGAGGGAUGCAGGGGAGAACGGAAUUCCUGGUGUAGCGGUGGAAUGCGCAGAUAUCAGGAGGAACACCGGUGGCGAAGGCGGUUCUCUGGGCAUUUCCUGACGCUGAGGAGCGAAAGCAUGGGGAGCGAACAGGAUUAGAUACCCUGGUAGUCCAUGCCGUAAACGUUGGGCGCUAGGUGUGGGGACCUUCCACGGUUUCCGUGCCGCAGCUAACGCAUUAAGCGCCCCGCCUGGGGAGUACGGCCGCAAGGCUAAAACUCAAAGGAAUUGACGGGGGCCCGCACAAGCGGCGGAGCAUGCUGAUUAAUUCGAUGCAACGCGAAGAACCUUACCUGGGUUUGACAUAUGCCGGAAAGCGCCAG